UUCCAGCGUAGCUGUUGGCAGCGUCCCGCC
rnacentral:piRNA from 1 species